UCAAGAAACUUCCACAAUGGGCGAAAGCCUGAUGGAGCGACGUCGCGUGAUGGACGAAGUGCUUCGGCACGUAAACAUCUUUUAUGUGGGAUGAAAUUAUUGACAGUACCACAUGAAUAAGGGGCUCCUAACUCUGUGCCAGCAGGAGCGGUAAUACAGAGGCCCCAAGCGUUAUCCGGAAUCACUGGGCGUAAAGGGUGUCGAGGCGGUUGUAUUAGUCGUUCGUAAAAUCUACGAGCUUAACUUGUAGGCGGCGAACGAAACGGUACGACUUGAGGUUUGGAGAGGUGCGUGGAACUCACGGUGUAGGGGUGAAAUCCGUUGAUAUCGUGGGGAACACCAAAGGCGAAGGCAGCGCACUGGCCAAAAUCUGACGCUCACACACGAAAGCUAGGGUAGCGAAGAGGAUUAGAU
rnacentral:rRNA from 1 species